AACUCUUAGCAAUGGAUAUCUCGGCUCUCAUAUCGAUGAAGAACGCAGCAC
rnacentral:rRNA from 1 species